rnacentral:rRNA from 1 species
UGAAGGCCUUCGGGUCGUAAAGCUCUGUCCUCAAGGAAGAUAAUGACGGUACUUGAGGAGGAAGCCCCGGCUAACUACGUGCCAGCAGCCGCGGUAAUACGUAGGGGGCUAGCGUUAUCCGGAUUUACUGGGCGUAAAGGGUGCGUAGGUGGUCUCUUAARUCAGGAGUGAAAGGCUACGGCUCAACCGUAGUAAGCUCUUGAAACUGGGAAACUUGAGUGCAGGAGAGGAAAGUGGAAUUCCUAGUGUAGCGGUGAAAUGCGUAGAUAUUAGGAGGAACACCAGUAGCGAAGGCGGCUUUCUGGACUGUAACUGACACUGAGGCACGAAAGCGUGGGGAGCAAACAGGAUUAAGAUGAGACACGGUCCAAACUCUACGGGAGGCAGCAGUGGGGAAUAUUGCACAAUGGGCGAAAGCCUGAUGCAGCAACGCCGCGUGAGCGA